UACGAAGGGGGCUAGCGUUGCUCGGAAUCACUGGGCGUAAAGCGCACGUAGGCGGGUCGUUAAGUCGGGGGUGAAAUCCUGGAGCUCAACUCCAGAACUGCCUUCGAUACUGGCGAUCUUGAGUCUGGGAGAGGUGAGUGGAAUUCCCGGUGUAGCGGUGAAAUGCGUAGAUAUCGGGAGGGACACCUGUGGCGAAAGCGGCUCACUGGACCACAACUGACGCUGAGGCGCGAAAGCUAGGGGAGCAAACAGG
rnacentral:rRNA from 1 species